GCGCGGGGCUCAAUCCCAUGAAUGGUGAGAUCAUGACUUGAACCAAAACCAAGAGUCAAACGCUUGACUGAACCACCCAGGCGCCCCACAUGCUAGGAGUUUUGAUGGCCAAUGCUUCUCACCCUAGACCCUCUAUAGGAAUUGCCCACAGGAAAGAGAGCCACCUUACCUAAGGUCACGCCCCUUCCUGAAAGAAGGUCACUUGCAGUGACAGGUUAAUUGGGGGGCAUGUGCUCCACUCAUUGCCUCAGUGAAGGGCCAUUCCAGGUCGUGGUAGGAUUGACUGAGGCCACUGUUUGAACUGCAUCAACUGUUCAACCCCCUCCCACUUCACCUUUCCUCCCUCAGGCCUCACAUGCUGUUCCUGAGAGCUUGUCUCCUCCCUCUCCCCCCAAUAAACCACCUGCACACAAGUCUCAAGAGUCUGUUUCCCAGGGAACAGACUGAGAACUGUGGGCAAGGGAGAGGGAGGAUCCUAAGGUAGCUCCUCAAUUUCUGUUUUGAGACAGCACAUGAUGCCAUGCACUGAGAUGAGCACAGGAAGGUGAUAAUGUACAGGAACUGAAGCAGGUUUGCUGGAAAAGAGAGAAGCUUGAUACGCUCAAGGAUUAAACCAAUUUAAAGAAGAAGAGUGAUAUAAGUUGUUUGGAGGUACUUUCCAAACGUUGUUCCAGAUUUGGGGUCUGAGGAUAUAAAGGAAGUGGCUUUUACCACGCUUCACUUUGAAUGAGUGCAUGCACGUGUAACCUGGAGAGAGGGGCAGAGGAAGAG